rnacentral:rRNA from 1 species
UACGUAGGGCGCGAGCGUUGUCCGGAUUUAUUGGGCGUAAAGAGCUCGUAGGCGGCUUGUCGCGUCGACUGUGAAAUCCCGCGGCUCAACUGCGGGUCUGCAGUCGAUACGGGCAGGCUAGAGUUCGGUAGGGGAGACUGGAAUUCCUGGUGUAGCGGUGGAAUGCGCAGAUAUCAGGAGGAACACCGGCGGCGAAGGCGGGUCUCUGGGCAGUAACUGACGCUGAGGAGCGAAAGCGUGGGGAGCGAACAGG